UCACACACAGAGAAAAACCACUUUAUCAAGAGGUUUUAGUUUGUUUAAAUUUCAGUUAGGAAAACAAGCUUUUUGUGAGUGAACAAAAGAAGGGGGAAAGUUUAAAGAGUAGAAGAACAAACUUUGCCAUGAGAGGAAAGAGUGCUCAGCAUUACGAUUUGUGACAUAUAGAAUGGUAGCUGCAAGAUGACAUUAUGAGGACAGGCCUGGUACAGUGCAUGGCACAAGACACUCAAAUGGUGGCCACUACCAUCUUCGUCAUUAUCAUCAUCAUCAUCAUCAUCAUCAUCAUCAUCAUCAUCAUCAUCAUGAUGUCCUGACCAAUGAAUGUCCUUGUUCACCAAGGAGGACCCAAUGUCCAGAUAGGUUAGCACUUGUCCCUUGAUAGUGGCAGAGCAGGAUCUAGAAUCAAGGGCUUACCUUUAUGUGGUUUGCUUUUCUGGUAUUUGCUUGUGGGUUAGAAGUUUUCUAUCAUUGAUGAGGUACAGCUCCAUGGAGAGCUGUGUUCUCUUUCCUUGUCAGAGAAAAGAGGAACAAGACCAACAGGUUUUCAUUUUAAUCCACAUUGCAGGAUGCUGGGUUAGUUAGUGAGGCCAGUGAUGCAUGAGGCAAAACUGAAGGACCAGGCAGUUUUUGAAAUAUUCAAUUUCUAGAAAGUGUGUAUGGCCCAAGAUCUCUGAUGACUCAACAGAAGAGAAAAAAAGAACCCAUGUCUUCAGAUUUUGCAUUUUAUAAACUUCUCACCAAUUCCAGAUAGACAUUAUUCUCUUCAGCUGAGGACAAAACUGAGUCCAGGAUAAAACAGUUUUUUUUAAAUUAAGAGUAUGCACUAACUGUCGGUAGUAGGGGAAGGAAGGUUCUAGAACAUCCCUGCAACACUGUUCUUUCCAUAGUUCCAAGUGAAAUUAUAAAUCAUGAUCUAUAUGAAAAUCCCCCAGUUUAAGCACAAACCCAACCACCCACAGCACAUA